GUCAUGGUAAGUACGUCAGAACAGACUCCCAGAUGUUUCUGAGUUCAGUUUCCAUCAUAUUCGUCCAUUUGUUUCUCCUCUUUGGUCUUGUUUUCUCUCAUAUUAUCACUUGACUUAUGAUUUUUUUAAAUGCUUCUCUGACAUGUAAAUGAUUACUCAUCAGCUUUUCUUAGUUUUAUUGGCUUUUAUUUUGGGUUGAUUUAUUUGUUUUGCUUUAUUGCUUUUUUCCCUUUUAUUAUCAUGUAACGGAUGUCUAGGCAAGUGGCCUCUUAAAUGCUUUUUUUCUAUUGGUGAAUUUCUUAUACUUUCAUACGCAUUAGUACACGCAGGUGUACCCCUAAUGAUUUAGGUAUUCAGAGUGUUAUUACUCGCCUACUAUGAUUUAUUCUGUAAUUAUAUGCUCUUCAUAUACAUAUAUAUGAAGAAUCUAUAGAUAUAUAAAUAUAUAUAUAUAUAGAUAUAUAUACAUAUGUGUGUGUAUUUCUUGCCAUAUACCCUCCCUUUCAAAUGUUAACUAUUUCUCACCUGCAUCAGGUAAACUCCUUGUACAGGUUAUUUGCUCCCUGUCCAGCCGAACCUGUUCCGUUAGCAAGGAGUGACGCGCACAAGCGAAAAGACAAAACAGUCUUAGUUUGACUUUCUUGUGCUCUGAGGCGGUGUUACAGACGGGUGACAGUAACAGUAGUGCUCUGGUGGAGUUCUGGGCUACGACUAAGUUUAUUGCAGUCAGGUUCUGAGGAUCUGUUUUGCUUUUCAGUGUGUUAUUAUUCUAAGUGAUUGUACUAUUAUGUAAUGUUAUGUAGGAGAGGUGUUAUGUAUACAUACAUUCAAUAAAGCAUUCAGGGUUUUAAACUAUGCAGAGUAAGUCAUCACUUUUGUUAGAUGAAUGGUUGAUCCGAAAGGAAUGCUGAUGGAAUUUCUUUCAUAAUUAGAAAUCUUUAUGACUUUUAAAGAUUUUGAUCAUUUCAAAAUUACAGACCUGGAAAGUCCCGGUAAAUAAUUUUACUUUCUUUCUUAGUUCGUUUUUCAUGAAUGUGGGAACACUGUAUCCAGUAGUAUUAGUCAGAGUUAUAGUUAACUAAAACCAUUAAGAAAGUGUCUCAGAUACAAAGGUAUCCUAGGUUUCUUGAGAUAACGUUGUAUCAGUUUAGCUGAAGUUUUGAGAAAACUCAGUUUCUCUGAAAUACUGAAGCCUGCUUGAAUCAGGUUUGUGCAGCUGCCCAAACAAAUGGCAUUUUAGCCCGCCAAAACGGGUGAAGCCAUCUGCCUAUAUAAAGCCCCUUUCGAACUGCGAUUUCGGAUAAUACACGGGUAAUGUGUCCCGGCAAUUGUUCCCGGGUCGCUAGAUUUUGCACAUUCACACUGCCAGUGAUUACCCGGAAUAUGUGUGUGUGCGUUCACACACAAGCCAUAAAGGUCCCGUAAAGACAUGUGAUAUCAGGGUGUGACGUGUAAUGCAUGAGUCGAAAACGCUAGGCACGUUAACUUUCACUUAAGCUGGUGAACAAUCUC
rnacentral:lncRNA from 1 species